UACAGAGGGUGCAAGCGUUAAUCGGAAUUACUGGGCGUAAAGCGUGCGCAGGCGGUUGUGCAAGACAGAUGUGAAAUCCCCGGGCUUAACCUGGGAACUGCAUUUGUGACUGCACGGCUAGAGUGUGUCAGAGGGGGGUAGAAUUCCACGUGUAGCAGUGAAAUGCGUAGAUAUCAGGAGGAACACCUGUGGCGAAAGCGGCUCACUGGACCAUAACUGACGCUGAUGCACGAAAGCUAGGGGAGCAAACAGG
rnacentral:rRNA from 1 species